AGAACGAACGCUGGCGGCAUGCCUAAUACAUGCAAGUCGAACGAAGGCUUCGGCCUUAGUGGCGCACGGGUGCGUAACGCGUGGGAAUCUGCCCCUUGGUUCGGAAUAACAGUUGGAAACGACUGCUAAUACCGGAUGAUGACGAAAGUCCAAAGAUUUAUCGCCAAGGGAUGAGCCCGCGUAGGAUUAGCUAGUUGGUGAGGUAAAGGCUCACCAAGGCGACGAUCCUUAGCUGGUCUGAGAGGAUGAUCAGCCACACUGGGACUGAGACACGGCCCAGACUCCUACGGGAGGCAGCAGUAGGGAAUAUUGGACAAUGGGCGAAAGCCUGAUCCAGCAAUGCCGCGUGAGUGAUGAAGGCCUUAGGUUGUAAGCUCUUUUACCCGAGAUGAUAAUGACAGUAUAGGAAGAAGUAACGCCCCGGACUAACCUCCGU
rnacentral:rRNA from 1 species